UCCAGUGGCAUCUAUAUUUCUUUUAGCAUGCUGUGGCGUUUCUCGGGAUGCUCAAUAGGUGUAAACUGAGUCCAGAAAUUUGGUAAAAGAAUCUUCAAUUGCAAUGCUAGAUGAUAUUUCCAAGCUUUGUACCGUCAGUUGAAACUUGAAAAGUUCAAGUUUGUUCUGUUAUCUUCUAUACGAUUAUGAAAUUGCCAUAUGAGCUUUCAUUUCACUCCCUCCAGCUCUCUAGACAAACUCAGAAAUUUCUCUUGAAUUGAUUGGUUUUGUUCAACAUUUCGAAUUCAACUAUGCUACUCUUCGACAUGACUUUCUUUGAAAAAAAUCUGGUUCUUGAGAUUACCGGACAACGAGCUGGUAGUGACUUAUUGGUGGUCUUUAUCUCACGGCCACCUAAGUCAAUCAGAAACCGUCGAGUUUUCCCUCUGGUUAUCUGUGGUGAAUAUGAGUUCUGCAUGGGAAAAGGAGUGCGAUGUUGAGAUCAGGUAUGAAAAAGGAAUUCGCUUGAGUUGACACCGACAUAAAUAGCGACGACAAGAAAUAGGUGUUUUGGAAAUUUGAUGUUGAACGGAAGUGGGAGAAAACACGUGAAGAAAGCGAAACUCUGGAACUAGUUGUCCUUGAAUGGUGCUCUUGCCGUAUUGUAUGAAUAUAUUUCUCCUUUAAUUGGAGAGAUAUGUUUGCAUACGGACAAAGCAGUUGAAGAGUGCAUGCAUGCGUUCCUCGUAGCACUGUCGUCAUGCUUGUGCUCGUUGGAAUUCCAGAAAAUUUUGUUACCACAUCAAGUGGUUGGCCAAUAUUUCUUACGUUGGGCACUGCAGACGAGCUGUAAUUGAAUUUUCCAAUCUCCGUUAUGUUAAGUUCCAUUUGCUUGUUUCUAAGAUAAUAAUUUCUUCGUGUUUGAAUUUAGGAGUAUCCUGUUGAACUGAAGCACGAAAGAGGAAAGGAGUUGAGUUGGAUAUUGAGCGAAACGGUGGAAAGCGUGUGAGGUAAAGUUCUGCGUUCUUUACUACAUUUUCAUCAAAACUCUGCAUCCUAAUGUGUGUCGUGUGACUCACAUAGCAAGUCAACAAAACGAAAACUAUUUAUUUGAACAUUGCAGAUUCGCCCACUAUGCAGCCAAUCAUGUGAUUCAUUAACCACUGUAGUUGACGGCGAAACUUGGAGCAAGCCCUCAAAAUUUAGGAACUUUUUUGCCAAGUGCGUUGCGGGCUGCAGACGGUGGGUGGUUUGGUGGCGGCUGCUGUGGAAGUGGAAAGUGAUUCCGCUCAAGCUUUGGCGGAGCAGCAGCAAAACAUUUUGGGGCUUCUCGAUAUGAAACCGAUAGUCUUUUAGAACAACUGACAAUUAAGCCUAUAAAAAUAACACCACAGUUCCUUCAGUUAAAAACACAUGCAUCAAGCCUGGCAGAACCCGAGGUACGAACUCUUCGUACCUCGGGAUUCUGAAGAGAGAAUUGUUGGACGAGGCUACAACUUGUUAUGAUCCAAGUUCGUACCUCGGUUCAGUCAGGAUUCAGAAGCAAAAUUGAAAAGUAGAAGCAAGAAGACAUUCCAUGUCUGCAGAAAGAGUCUUAUUUCAUUCAAAAAAACUUAUUUUCAGAAUCAUAUCAAGUGAUAGAAAUCAUAAAAAUUGAUCCGUUAUAUGCUUGAUAUUAUAACACGUGGAUUAGCUCAAUGACAAGAAUUCGUUCAUAAUUUC